rnacentral:rRNA from 1 species
UACGUAGGGUGCGAGCGUUGUCCGGAAUUACUGGGCGUAAAGAGCUCGUAGGUGGUUUGUCGCGUUGUUCGUGAAAACUCACAGCUUAACUGUGGGCGUGCGGGCGAUACGGGGCAGACUGGAGUACUGCAGGGGAGACUGGAAUUCCUGGUGUAGCGGUGGAAUGCGCAGAUAUCAGGAGGAACACCGGUGGCGAAGGCGGAUCUCUGGGCCAUUACUGACGCUGGAGGAGCGAAAGCGUGGGGAGCGAACAGG